GAUGAACGCUAGCGGCAGGCCUAACACAUGCAAGUCGAGGGAGGAGCCUUCGGGCUUCGACCGGCGUACGGGUGCGUAACGCGUAUACAAUCUGCCUUUCACAUAGGGAUAGCCCGAAGAAAUUUGGAUUAAUACCUAAUGGUAUAUAGAUGUGGCAUCACCUUUAUAUUAAAGCUGAGGCGGUGAAAGAUGAGUAUGCGUUCUAUUAGCUAGUUGGAGAGGUAACGGCUCCCCAAGGCGACGAUAGAUAGGGGUUCUGAGAGGGAUAUCCCCCACACUGGUACUGAGAUACGGACCAGACUCCUACGGGAGGCAGCAGUGAGGAAUAUUGGACAAUGGUAGGAAGACUGAUCCAGCCAUGCCGCGUGCAGGAAGACGGCCUUAUGGGUUGUAAACUGCUUUUGCAGGGGAAGAAUAAGGACUACGCGUAGUUUGAUGACGGUACUCUGCGAAUAAGCAUCGGCUAACUCCGUGC
rnacentral:rRNA from 1 species